UACGAAGGGGGCUAGCGUUGCUCGGAAUGACUGGGCGUAAAGGGCGCGUAGGCGGAUGGCAUAGUCAGAUGUGAAAUUCCCGGGCUUAACCUGGGGACUGCAUUUGAUACGUGCCGUCUUGAGUUUGGAAGAGGGUCGUGGAAUUCCCAGUGUAGAGGUGAAAUUCGUAGAUAUUGGGAAGAACACCGGUGGCGAAGGCGGCGACCUGGUCCGAUACUGACGCUGAGGCGCGAAAGCGUGGGGAGCAAACAGG
rnacentral:rRNA from 1 species